UAUUCCUGUUUAAUCUUGACAAUGGCCUCUUUUCCUUUCCCUCUCUCACUUUCUUUUUGCUCUGCGUAUUUUCUCUCUCCCUUUCUCCCACUUUCUCUCGCUUUCUUUGCACACCGAAUCGCGCUUCCUUCUUUUCAUUUUUCAUUAACGCAGAAUCAGAAACACACUCUCAGUUUUGAGACUCUUCCUCGCGCGACCUUUUUCUCUUCAGAUAGAAUCAUUGCACUCGAGUGGUGCGAUCGAGCAAGACAAGAUUGAAAAAGCAAAAGUAAUGUACAAAGAGAUGGAGAAGAGGAACUUAAUAAUGGAGCAUUGUUGGUGUCUUUUGAGACACCAACCCAAAUGAUCGCAACAAAUGAUUUCACUAAAUACGAGGAGAAGGUCACACGAUAAACGUCCAGCUAAUGAGCAGUCAAGUGAAGUUGCCGACCACGUUGUAGAGGAGAACGUUGAGAGGUCUCUAGGCAAAAAAGCUGGAAAAGAAAGGUUGAGGAAGUGGAAGUCCCAGGAAUCAUGUGAUGCUAAGUUCCACAAGGCGUUAGCUAGAAUGACCGAGGAUAGACGGUUGUUCAUGGCAGAGAGGAGAGCAUGGGUGAUGAAGGCAGAUCACGAUAGAGGUGCACAACUGGAACUUGAUAAGAAAAAGUUCGAGGUGGAGAUGAUGAGCAAGGAUCUUGCUGGCAUGAAUGGCAUGCAACAAGCCUACUUCCUUAAUAUUCAAAGGAAAAUUUAUGAGGACUCUUUGAACAUUUCCGAAUGUACAUCUGACAAAUCUCCAUCCACACCUCAUGGAGGUGUCUAAUUGUUGGUACUAAUUUCAGAUUUCUAGCUUUUAGUGGCUGCCCAGCCACUAUGAGAUCUAAAUUUUGUGGGCUGGAUUGUGACGUGUUAAGUUUGUAAGUUUUUGUGGGCUGAAUUGUGACUUGAUCUAAAUUGUAACUUGUUAAGUUGGUAAAUACUUUUGUGGGCUUAGGUGCAUUUUUCCAUAUUUGUAGGCUAAGUUGCACUUUUUGUGAAGAAAUUGUUUUGAUUUCAGA